rnacentral:rRNA from 1 species
GCGGUGAAAUGCGUAGAUAUCAGGAGGAAUACCGAUGGCGAAGGCAGGUCUCUGGGCCAAUACUGACGCUCAUGCACGAAAGCGUGGGGAGCAAACAGGAUUAGAUACCCUGGUAGUCCACGCCCUAAACGAUGUCAACUGGUUGUUGGGGGAUUUAUUCUCUUAGUAACGAAGCUAACGCGUGAAGUUGACCGCCUGGGGAGUACGGUCGCAAGAUUAAAACUCAAAUGAAUUGACGG